GUCUUCGUAGUAUAUUAAUUACAUUGGUCUUGUAAACCAAAAAUGGAGAUUAAUAAUUCUCCCCAAGACUC
rnacentral:tRNA from 1 species